UGGGGAAUAUUGGACAAUGGGGGCAACCCUGAUCCAGCAAUGCCGCGUGUGUGAAGAAGGUCUUCGGAUUGUAAAGCACUUUCGACGGGGACGAUGAUGACGGUACCCGUAGAAGAAGCCCCGGCUAACUUCGUGCCAGCAGCCGCGGUAAUACGAAGGGGGCUAGCGUUGCUCGGAAUGACUGGGCGUAAAGGGCGUGUAGGCGGUUUACACAGUCAGAUGUGAAAUCCCCGGGCUUAACCUGGGAGCUGUAUUUGAUACGUGUAGACUAGAGUGUGAGAGAGGGUUGUGGAAUUCCCAGUGUAGAGGUGAAAUUCGUAGAUAUUGGGAAGAACACCGGUGGCGAAGGCGGCAACCUGGCUCAUGACUGACGCUGAGGCGCGAAAGCGUGGGGAGCAAACAGGAUUAGAUACCCUGGUAGUCCACGCUGUAAACGAUGUGUGCUAGAUGUUGGGUAACUUU
rnacentral:rRNA from 1 species